GCCAGUUUGGCUCAGUGGAUAGAGCAUCGGCCCUCAAACUGAAGGUCGGGGGUUCAAUUCCCAUCAAGGGCA
rnacentral:tRNA from 1 species